rnacentral:rRNA from 1 species
UACGUAGGGUGCGAGCGUUAAUCGGAAUUACUGGGCGUAAAGCGCACGUAGGUGGCGACGUAAGUCGGGUGUGAAAGCCCCGGGCUCAACCUGGGAAUUGCAUUCGAGACUGCAUUGCUGGAGUACGGAAGAGGAAGGCGGAAUUUCUGGUGUAGCAGUGAAAUGCGUAGAUAUCAGAAGGAACAUCAGUGGCGAAGGCGGCUUUCUGGACCAAUACUGACGAUCAGGUGCGAAAGCGUGGGGAGCAAACAGG